rnacentral:rRNA from 1 species
UACGUAGGCAGCGAGCGUUGUUCGGAGUUACUGGGCGUAAAGGGUGUGUAGGCGGUUCUUUAAGUUUGGUGUGAAAUCUCCCGCUUAACCGGGAGGUGCGCCGAAUACUGAGGGACUAGAGUACGGGAGAGGAAAGUGGAAUUCCGGGUGUAGCGGUGGAAUGCGUAGAGAUCGGAAGAACACCGGUGGCGAAGGCGGCCUGCUGGGCAGUUGCUGACACUGAGGCGCGACAGCGUGGGGAGCAAACAGG